GCCUGANUGUAACACAACAAUUAAANUACCAAUUGUUCGCCAAAUAACUACGAGUAAAAACUUAAAAUUUAAAAGACUUGACGGUACCUCACAACAGCCUAGAGGAGCCUGUCCAUAACCGAUACCCCACGAUUCACCCUACCCCCCCUAGCCAACAGUCUAUAUACCGCCGUCGCCAGCCUACCUUAUGAAAGAAACAAAGUAAGCCAAAUAGCUCAUACACUAGUACGACAGGUCGAGGUGUAACUAAUGGGGGGGCCAAGAUGGGCUACAUUUUCUAACACAGAAAAAACGAAUAAACUUUGAAAGAAGAAACUGAAGGCGGAUUUAGCAGUAUACUAAGAACAAAAUACCUAGUCGAAAUCAAUGCAAUGAGGUGCGU
rnacentral:rRNA from 1 species